rnacentral:rRNA from 1 species
UGGGGAAUUUUCCGCAAUGGGCGAAAGCCUGACGGAGCAACGCCGCGUGAGGGAGGAAGGCCUGUGGGUCGUAAACCUCUUUUCUCAGGGAAGAAGAUCUGACGGUACCUGAGGAAUCAGCAUCGGCUAACUCCGUGCCAGCAGCCGCGGUAAGACGGAGGAUGCAAGCGUUAUCCGGAAUUAUUGGGCGUAAAGCGUCCGUAGGUGGCCUUGUAAGUCAGUUGUUAAAGCCCACAGCUCAACUGUGGAUUGGCAAUUGAAACUACAAAGCUAGAGUGUGGUAGGGGUAGAGGGAAUUCCUAGUGUAGCGGUGAAAUGCGUAGAUAUUAGGAAGAACACCAGUGGCGAAGGCGCUCUACUGGGCCAUAACUGACACUGAUGGACGAAAGCUAGGGGAGCGAAAGGGAUUAGAUACCCCCGUAGUCC